GGGCUGGGCGGCGUGCUACACAUGCAAGUCGAGCGGUAUAUACCUGAAUGAAACUUCGGUCGAAUGAGGGUAUAGAGAGCGGCGGACGGGUGAGUAACGCGUAGGCAACCUGCCCCAUACAGAGGGAUAGCCUCGGGAAACCGGGAUUAAUACCUCAUAAUGCGCGGGGUUCACAUGAACCCUUCGCCAAAGAUUUAUCGGUAUGGGAUGGGCCUGCGUCUGAUUAGCUAGUUGGUGGGGUAACGGCCUACCAAGGCGACGAUCAGUAGCCGACCUGAGAGGGUAAUCGGCCACAUUGGAACUGAGACACGGUCCAAACUCCUACGGGAGGCAGCAGUGGGGAAUAUUGCACAAUGGGCGAAAGCCUGAUGCAGCAACGCCGCGUGAGCGAUGAAGGCCUUUGGGUCGUAAAGCUCUGUCCUUGGGGAAGAAAAAAAUGACGGUACCCUUGGAGGAAGCCCCGGCUAACUACGUGCCAGCAGCCGCGGUAAUACGUAGGGGGCAAGCGUUAUCCGGAAUUAUUGGGCGUAAAGAGUGCGUAGGUGGUCUUGUAAGCGCGGGGUGAAAGGCAAUAGCUUAACUACUGUGAGCCCUGCGAACUGUGAGACUUGAGUGCAGGAGAGGAAAGCGGAAUUCCUAGUGUAGCGGUGAAAUGCGUAGAUAUUAGGAGGAACACCAGUGGCGAAGGCGGCUUUCUGGACUGUAACUGACACUGAGGCACGAAAGCGUGGGGAGCAAACAGGAUUAGAUACCCUGGUAGUCCACGCCGUAAACGAUGAGCACUAGGUGUCGGGGCCGCAAGGUUUCGGUGCCGCAGUUAACGCAUUAAGUGCUCCGCCUGGGGAGUACGCACGCAAGUGUGAAACUCAAAGGAAUUGACGGGGACCCGCACAAGCAGCGGAGCAUGUGGUUUAAUUCGAAGCAACGCGAAGACCUUACCAGGGCUUGACAUCCCUCUGACCGGACGGUAACGCGUCCUUCCCUUCGGGGCAGAGAGACAGGUGGUGCAUGAUGUCGUCAGCUCGUGUCGUGAGAUGUUGGGUUAAGUCCCGCAACGAGGCGC
rnacentral:rRNA from 1 species